rnacentral:rRNA from 1 species
UGGUUACCUCUGUUUUGUAGCUAACGCGUUAAGCACUCCGCCUGGGGACUACGGUCGCAAGACUAAAACUCAAAGGAAUUGACGGGGACCCGCACAAGCGGUGGAGCAUGUGGUUUAAUUCGAUGCAACGCGAAAAACCUUACCACUUCUUGACAUGGAGGCUAGAUCCUUCUUAACAGAAGGGCGCAGUUCGGCUGGGCCUCGCACAGGUGCUGCAUGGCUGUCGUCAGCUCGUGUCGUGAGAUGUUGGGUUAAGUCCCGCAACGAGCGCAACCCUCAUCCUUAGUUACCAGCGGGUAAUGCCGGGCACUUUAAGGAAACUGCCAGUGAUAAACUGGAGGAAGGUGGGGAUGAUGUCAAGUCAGCACGGCCCUUAUGGGGUGGGCUACACACGUGCUACAAUGGCGACUACAAUAGGUUGCAUGGUCGCAAGAA